CCUACGGGAGGCAGCAGUGAGGAAUAUUGGUCAAUGGACGAGAGUCUGAACCAGCCAAGUAGCGUGAAGGAUGACUGCACUAUGGGUUGUAAACUUCUUUUAUAAAGGAAUAAAACGAGGCACGUGUGCCUUUUUGCAUGUACUUUAUGAAUAAGGAUCGGCUAACUCCGUGCCAGCAGCCGCGGUAAUACGGAGGAUGCGAGCGUUAUCCGGAUUUAUUGGGUUUAAAGGGAGCGGAGAUGGGUUGUUAAGUCAGUGGUGAAAGUUCGCGGCUCAACCGUAAAAUUGCAAUUGAUACGGGCAGUCUUGAGUACAGUUGAGGUAGGCGGAAUGCGUGGUGUAGCGGUGAAAUGCUUAGAUAUCACGAAGAAGCCCGAUUGCGAAGGCAGCUUACGAAACUGUGACUGACAUUGAGGCUCGAAAGUGUGGGUAUCAAACAGGAUUAGAUACCCGUGUAGUC
rnacentral:rRNA from 1 species